UAUCAAAGGUUCGUUUGUUCAACGAUUAAAGUCCUACGUGAUCUGAGUUCAGACCGGAGUAAUCCAGGUCGGUUUCUAUCUAUUACGUAUUUCUCCCAGUACGAAAGGACAAGAGAAAUAAGGCCAACUUUAAAUUAAGCGCCUUAAGACAACCAAUGACAGCAUCUCAAUCAACAACACAAAACCCUGCCCUAGAACAGGGCUUA
rnacentral:rRNA from 1 species